CGGGACGUGGCCCAGCUUGGCAGGGCGCCGCUUUCGGGUAGCGGAGAUCGCAGGUUCGAAUCCUGCCGUUCCGAC
rnacentral:tRNA from 1 species